CACAUGAUGUUGGUGAGGUGUACACAUGAUGUUGGUGAGGUGUACACGUGAUGUUGGUGAGGUGUAUACGUGAUGUUGGUGAGGUGCACACGUGAUGUUGG